rnacentral:rRNA from 1 species
UGGGGAAUCUUGCGCAAUGGGGGAAACCCUGACGCAGCGACGCCGCGUGCGGGAUGAAGGCCUUCGGGUUGUAAACCGCUUUCAGCAGGGACGAGGCCUUAUGGUGACGGUACCUGCAGAAGAAGCUCCGGCUAAAUACGUGCCAGCAGCCGCGGUAAUACGUAUGGAGCAAGCGUUAUCCGGAUUCAUUGGGCGUAAAGCGCUCGUAGGCGGUCUGUUAGGUCGGCAAGUUAAAUCCGGGGGCUCAACCCCCGUCCGCUUCCGAUACCGGCAGACUUGAGUUUGGUAGGGGAAGGUGGAAUUCCUAGUGUAGCGGUGAAAUGCGUAGAGAUUAGGAAGAACACCGGUGGCGAAGGCGACUUUCUGGACGAAAACUGACGCUGAGGCGCGAAAGCGUGGGGAGCAAACAGG